ensembl:lncRNA
AAUUUAUUUAUGAAGCAAAGAACAAUCAGAGUUGAACCGCAUGCUGACGUUUCUGUGGUUAGUAAAUUCCCUUCUGUGAGUCAUCAUCACGCCACAUCGGAAGAUUAAAAAAACGCCCCCUUGCCAAUGUCUCAAGAACACAGCCCAUGCUGAACCCUUAACCGUAUACAUAAUCCAUCCAGAAAUCAAAGAGACAGGAGAAUAACAUGCAUUUAUAUCUAAUAGGGUUUAUUGUCUUGAUCCUGUUAAAAUAUAUAUAUAUUUGGGUAUAUUGAGUUUGAAAUAUAUUGUAGAAUUUUUGUAUAACAUACUGUAUACUGUAUAUAUCGAAGUCUAUAGUCGUUAAUUAAAUGCAAUAUUCGAGAGAAAGAGAGAGAGUGAGAGAAAGAGAGGAGUAUCGAGUACAAAAUUAAAUUCGAUGGUAAGAUUCAUUCCUAUACACGUGACUCCAAAGUGCACACUCUGGUACAGCAUGAAGAGCUUCCACAGCUUCCACAUCAUUAUAUAUGCCUCCCAUGUUGAUCAGCAAUCACAGUUCUACACUGGAUUUAUAGUAUUGUUAUCAUUUGAACAUUGUAACUCACUCCACUUAAUAUUAAUAAUAAUAAUAAUAAUAAUAAUAAUAAUAAUAAUAAUAAUAAUAAUAAUACUUUGUCUAGUAUAUAAUAAUAUAAUAUUCAUAUUUUUAUAGAUUUAUACUAUUCAUGCUAUUCAGAUUUAUACAUGAUCCCGUUUCUGUGUUCCUGGACCAAAAUCACUCCAAAGUGCACACUCUGGUACAGCAUUAAGAGUCUGCCAGCUUCCGCAGCCAAUAGAACUCAACCUUGUCACGUGUCUAAACGUCUAGCAUCGGUAUAACCUCUGGUCUUCCAUCUGCUCCACUUCCGCUUUGUGGUUCGUUUGAAGAACACGCUCUCUUGAACCGCUCGAACAAACUGUAUUAUUAGAAAGUGAAAAAAUGGCAUCAUCAUAAAUAACCAUCAUCAGACCAACGCAAUGACCACCGCAAUGACCACCACAAUGACCCCAACAGUCCCGACCACAGUCCCUGCAAUGCCCCCUGGAGUCCAGACUACAGCCAGAGGCUUGAGAGGAGUGGACAGAGGGGGAGAGAGUGAGCUAUAGGCCAUCAGGAGAGAGUGAGAGGGGGAGAGCAAGAGCGAAGGAGCGAGAGCAGCAGAGCCAUGAAGACUGUGCCUUUGUGCUAGUGUAAAGCUGGAGAGACCACAUUUGUCACAUGCGCUGUACAUCCAGGCCUGCAUCGCAUCAGCUCCACUGUGGUGGAGGAGACCUUCAGACCUGCAGACUAAACACGUGGAGGACGUUCCAACAGGAGUCCCAGCAGCCUGUGAGCUUCACACCCGUCCAGAGGUUAGCAGAGGCCUUUAUCACAAGAGGCUCACAGUGAAUUCAUUUUCAGGGGUACGGGUUAGGGGGCGGCUUGCUCGAGGAGGCCCACGACUGUGGACAUUGGGGGUACGAACCCAGAGCGUUGGGCCUGGGGGUCCAAGGCUAGGCACCACAGCACUAGCCUGGCCUCCUGCACUCCCAUACGGAUGA